UACGUAGGUAGCAAGCGUUGUUCGGAUUUACUGGGCGUAAAGGGCGCGUAGGCGGCUCGGUAAGUCACUUGUGAAAUCUCUGAGCUUAACUCAGAACGGCCAAGUGAUACUGCAGUGCUAGAGUGUAGAAGGGGCAAUCGGAAUUCUUGGUGUAGCGGUGAAAUGCGUAGAUAUCAAGAGGAACACCUGAGGUGAAGACGGGUUGCUGGUCUAACACUGACGCUGAUGCGCGAAAGCCAGGGGAGCAAACGGG
rnacentral:rRNA from 1 species